UGAGACAUUGUUCUAGACUCUUUUGUGUCUUUACAUCAGAGGCGAUGCUCACAGGAGACCACGGGGGUACUCCCUGAGUCUCCCAGGGACAGAGCAGUCAUAAGCCGGCCUUGGUUUGGCCAUGUGGUCCCCGGCUGCUUGGUGGUGAGGGAGGCUGUGCCAUGUUGGGUUGGUGGAAUGAAGUGGUGUCGCUAAUCAGAUGUUGACGGCCAUCAGUCAGUGACAGAGAACAUGCUGGAGAUGAAUCUAAGAGACAGAAUCAGGGAUGGAAAGGUCUGCUGGAAUGAACGAUCACAAAUGAAGUGACUGAAAAGCCACAGGAAAUUUCUCCACGUAGUUCUGAAGUUAGGAGCCCAGCACUGGGGCACUGACAGCUCCAUGUUCUCUCAAAGGGGAGAAUCCUUCCAUGUCUCUUCGGGUUCCAGAUGUUCCAGAGGCAUUCAUUCCCCACAGCUGCUGGCAGAGAAACUGCGCUGUCGUGAGGCCUUCCCUUCCCGGUGUCUGUGAGAAACUGAGGAACAGAAAAGUCAAGUUACUUGCUCCAGUUCCCAGGGGAGAGCUAGGAUUGGAUCCUGCACUGUCUGAUUCAGAACUUGGGGGUUUUGCCACUGUACUGUUUCAUGUGUGCACACAGGAGAUAGAUACUAUUUCUUAACCACACACAGUCACCAUACUCUCCCCUCCUAAUAAGACACUAACACAUCAACAUGUCCGUUUCUGUCUGUGGUCAAAGGUGUUUGCAGCCUUCUCUCUGCUGAGCCCAUUGAACUGAGCUACGUCGGGUAUUGACUAAGAAUAAACAAAAGCUUGUACAGACUGACAAACAGUUGUUCACCGAUGAUACCACAGGCAAGACUCAGCAAUCAAGGGCAACUGUGCUCUGGUCAAAGGGCGGCUCUCAGCUCCUUCUGGAAAUUACAUACAGCCAAAGUACAGUGGGGGCUGAGAGAAUUUUCAGGUAUAUUUUUA